rnacentral:rRNA from 1 species
AUUGAACGCUGGCGGCAUGCUUUACACAUGCAAGUCGGACGAGUGGCGAACGGGUGAGUAACGCAUCGGAACGUACCGAGUAAUGGGGGAUAACUGUCCGAAAGGACAGCUAAUACCGCAUAUUAUUCGAGCGGCCGCUAUAUGAUUAGCUAGUGGGUGGGGUAAAGGCCUACCAAGGCGACGAUCAGUAGCUGGUCUGAGAGGAUGACCAGCCACAAUGGAACUGCGACACGGCCCAGAUGCCUACGGGAUGCAGCAGUUGGGAAUAUUUCACAAUGGGCGCAAUACUGAUGCAGCCAUGCCGCUUGUGUGAAGAAGGCCUUCGGGUUGUAAAGCACUUUCAGCGGGGAGGCGUUACCCGCAGAAGAAGCACCGGCUAACUCCGUGCCAGCAGCCGCGGUAAUUC